GACGUAGGGCGCGAGCGUUGUCCGGAUUUAUUGGGCGUAAAGAGCUCGUAGGCGGUUUGUCGCGUCUGCCGUGAAAGUCCGGGGCUCAACUCCGGAUCUGCGGUGGGUACGGGCAGACUAGAGUGAUGUAGGGGAGACUGGAAUUCCUGGUGUAGCGGUGAAAUGCGCAGAUAUCAGGAGGAACACCGGUGGCGAAGGCGGGUCUCUGGGCCGAAACUGACGCUGAGGUGCGAAAGCGUGGGGAGCAAACAGG
rnacentral:rRNA from 1 species